rnacentral:lncRNA from 1 species
UUGUAGGUCAUUUACCUAGUGGAGAUUCAAAUAUUUGAUAGCUAAUAAUUUUUUUUUUAAUUUUAAAAAUAUCAUUUUUAGUUAUUUUCAUAUGUUUUACCACUGCACUAUCAUUGAACUUGCUCUAUCCCAUAAAUUGUAAAACAAAUUUACAGAGUUAGAUAAAUUAUAUAUUUGAACAUGGCAACACAAAAUGACCAAAAAAAAUUACGACAUAGGAAUUGGGAUAAUGUUGAAAGAGACGAGUUCAAUGAGCGGUAGGUUUUGUAUGCAACAAAAAGAAGAAACAAUAGCCUCAAA